AUUGAACGCUGGCGGCAGGCCUAACACAUGCAAGUCGAGCGAGCGGCGGACGGGAGAGUAAUGUAUGGGGAUCUGCCUGGUGGCGGGGGAUAACUACUGGAACCUGUAGCUAAUACCGCAUACCAUCAGAUGCACCCAUAUGGGAUUAGCUGGUAGGUGAGGUAACGGCUCACCUAGUCGACGACCCCUAGCUGGUCUGAGAGGAUGAUCAGCCACACUGGGACUGAGACACGGCCCAGACUCCUACGGGAGGCAGCAGUGGGGAAUAUUGCACAAUGGGCGCAAGCCUGAUGCAGCCAUGCCGCGUGUAUGAAGAAGGCCUUCGGGUUGUAAAGUACUUUCAGUCGGGAGGCGUUACCCGCAGAAGAAGCACCGGCUAACUCCGUGCCAGCAGCCGCGGUAAUAC
rnacentral:rRNA from 1 species